UACGAAGGGGGCUAGCGUUGCUCGGAAUCACUGGGCGUAAAGGGCGCGUAGGCGGCGUUUUAAGUCGGGGGUGAAAGCCUGUGGCUCAACCACAGAAUGGCCUUCGAUACUGGGACGCUUGAGUAUGGUAGAGGUUGGUGGAACUGCGAGUGUAGAGGUGAAAUUCGUAGAUAUUCGCAAGAACACCGGUGGCGAAGGCGGCCAACUGGACCAUUACCGACGCUGAGGCGCGAAAGCGUGGGGAGCAAACAGG
rnacentral:rRNA from 1 species